AGAGUUGAUCCUGGCUCAAGAACGAACGCUGGCGGCGCGUCUUAAGCAUGCAAGUCGAACGGCAAGAGGUAGCAAUACCUCCUAGAGUGGCGGACUGGUGAGUAACACGUGGGUGACAUACCCUUCAGAUGGGGAUAGCUAUUAGAAAUAGUAGAUAAUACCGAAUACGAGCACAGGGGUUAGAGAUCUGUGAGGAAAGGAGCUAAGGCUCCGCUGAAGGAAUGGCCUGCGGCCCAUUAGCUAGUUGGUGAGGUAAGAGCCCACCAAGGCGAUGAUGGGUAUCCGGCCUUAGAGGGUGAACGGACACAUUGGGACUGAGAUACGGCCCAGACUCCUACGGGAGGCAGCAGCUAAGAAUAUUCCGCAAUGGACGAAAGUCUGACGGAGCGACGCCGCGUGGAUGAAGAAGGCCGGAAGGUUGUAAAAUCCUUUUGAAACUGAAGAAUAAGCGUUGUAGGGAAUGACAGCGUGGUGACAGUAGGUUUUGAAUAAGCAACGGCUAAUUACGUGCCAGCCGCGGC
rnacentral:rRNA from 1 species